CUGCCUCACUCACACAUCUCCAUCCACACUAAGCUCAGAGACACAUUCUAAGCAAAGCUUAAACCAAAUGGAUGAAUCAGGCUCCUCUUCUGUUUCUGUGGUUAAGAAUACCUACUUCUAUGUCAUGGUAAUGCCCACACUACAAGAUGGAUUGCCAGAAGACAGAAGAAGCCAUUUCAGUGUUUUGUUUCUUUUUAAACUUUUCUCCUCGGCACAAGACAAUCUCACUAGAGAACUGCGUCUAUAAAUGUGCACAUUCCCCGACACAACCAGAGUUGCCUCAUCCUCAAGGUCUAUUUUUCAGUUUGGCCUUGGAGCAGGGUUCCAGAAUUUGUUCAACUCCUGCUAAUUUAGCAACUGUUUCUUGAUGAUUUCUGCUUUGGUGACAGGCACACUUGAUGACUGUCCCAUAGAGAUACACAAGCAUAAAUUCUGUACUGGAAGGCUCCAGUCUGGAAAGUGUGAGUACUGCACAGAAAACAUAGCAAUGGAACAAAAGCACCAUGGCUCUGGGCUGUUGCCAUGGCCUGUUCUCAUGUGUGGAUAAUUUAUAUGACAGGGCAGAUGGAGACCCUGUUUUCAGAAUGUGUGUAACUCCACUCUUGGUUUGCUAAGAGAAUGCUUAUCUAGUCCCAGCAUGCAAGUGGGUUAAGAUAUUUUACUUAGAUUUAUUUAUGCAUUUACACAUCCAUACAUGCAGUCAAAAAUAUUUAUUGAACACCUGCAAUGUGUGAGGCUCUAUGUGCCAAAGAUAGAGCAGUAAAUAAAACAGAAAAAUCCCCAUCCUCAUGAAUUACACAUUGAUGGAAGACGUGGGGACAAUACGCAAAAUAAAUGAAAAUAUAUAGAUAUUUAAAUAAUGGCUAUGAGAAAAUAUAAUGCAGAAAAGGGGAAUGGCAAGUACCCCUAAGGAAGUGUGUAAUUUGUGAUUUUAAGCAAGGUGGUCAGGGAAGACCUUACUGAUUAGGUAAUAUUUUGACUUGCUAUCCCUAUGGUGCUAUGGAAGUAGUAAUGAACUUGGAAUUGGAAAAUCUGGAUUCAACUCUUGUUAUGGACUGAAUUAUGACCUCCAACCCCCUAGAAUUCAUAUUUUGUAGCCUUAACCCCCAGUACCUUGAUAUGUGACUGUAUUUGGAGGCAGGGGCUUUAAAGAGAUAAUUAAGGUAAAUUAUCUUGUUAGGGCCCUCAGGGUCGGUCCCUAAUCCAAUAUGAUUGGUAACAUAUGGGAAGAAUGACAAAAAUAAUAAGAGGCUUCAGGAAUGCGGGUGCACAGAGAAAAGGCCAUGUGAGGACACAGCAAGAAGGUGGCCAUCUGCAAGGCAAGAAGCGGCCUCAGGAGAAACCAGGACUGCUGACAUCUGCAUCUUGAACUUCCAGCCUCCACAACUGGGCGAAAAUAAAUGUUGUUUAAGCAACCUAGUCUGUAGUAUUUUUCAUGGCAGCCCAAGCCGACUAAGACAACUCUGAUGUCUCGGCAGGCUUGUGAUCUUGCAAGGAACUGACCUCAGUAUCCUCAUGUACCAGAGGGAAGCAAGACAGUCAAGGUCAAGAGUGAAGUAUCUCUCAGGUUCUGUUCCUUACAUGACCUCCUAACAGGAGGGAAGAGUUCCUGUUCUUUCAGACUUCAACAGACUUAAAUCUCUCAGAAACCUUCACUUCUAUAAUCCAUGGCCUUAAAUCUAAACAUGUCUCAAAUCUAAAUAUAUCCAAAACUGAGUUCUUCCUCUUCAUCCCACCAAUCCUGUUUCACCCACAGCCUUUCCCAUCUCCACCGAUUUUACCUCCAACCUUCCAGUUUCUUACACCAAAAACCUCACAGACAUCUUUGGCUUCAGUCCUUCUGUCAAAACCCAAAUCCAAUAUGUCAGGAAAUCCUGUUGGCCCUACCUUAUGGGCGUAUUCAGACCCCAGUGACAUCUCAUCAUCUCUGCUAGUAUCAUGCUAGUCAUAUCCCCAACAUCUCUGAGCUGGGUUUCUUCAGGAGCCUCCCAGUGAAUUGCCCUGCUAGCAUCCACCCCUCUGUCUGGUCUACUUUAACAAUAGCAGAGUGAUCUUUUCAGCCUGCCUACAUGUCCCCACGCCAAGAGUCUCCAGUCAGGGCUCACCCGAAGCCUUCUUUUUUUUUCCACUAUAAAGUCUUCUCUCUCCUCUACCCUCCUUUGAGUCUCUAUCAAACACAAGUGAAGGUAGUGGCUAAGUCUCUCACUAUAGCAAACUGACUAAAUGGCCUUUGCUUGCUCUCAUUUGGGUGGCCUUCACUUAUUUCCACAGACGUCAUGUUUAAAAUAUUUGAUAAUGACCCAGUCUGGGUUUAUGGACCACCGUGAAUAUUUUUUAACUUCAUCUUUGCUCCAUGAAGUGCUGAUUUGGAAGAUUGGAUUUUUCUGGAUCGAAAUAGAACAUUAAGUCUAGAUAACUAAGCAAUUAUUGGACUAGAUGGAAUCUUUUGAGUGUCUCUUGGGUAGUUUUCUACCAUACCAUCACACUUAAACCAUCUCUGACAUACUGUAAAAAUCUGAGCUGUGCUUAAGCACAUUAACCUUUUCAGCAUUUCACUCUGCUGAUAUCCUCUUUUUUUCUAUAACAAUUUCUAUUUUGUUUGUCCUCAAACUUAUUUAUGUUGUUCUCUCCUCAGCAGAAAUCAAAUCAGUGUAUUCUAUGUUAUAAGCCCUGCAGAUGCUUCCACUUUAUAAGCCCUUCAGAUACAUUAUAACUCUGUUAAAUUGGUCAUGAUUUUCUUAAUUUCAGAAAACAUGUUUCUUUUUUUAUUUAAGUAUUAUUUCCUAAUACAAAGUUCCCAUGAAAUGUGUUUUGUUAUUUUUGCUGCAUGUGAUUUUAUCUACUCACUUAUACAGAGCAUCCCACAGUUAAACAAGUAUAAGUGUAAUUGCAGGACAUCUCAGAGUCUAAUAUGCUAAUAUACAUAGUGAAUUCUUGAGAAUGGAGAUGUUUACGUGAUACCAAAGGAUUCCUUUGCUUGUGGAGCAUCUUUAUAUUAAUAUUUCGCAUGGUUUAGCCCUUACAUGUUGUCAUGGCUCUUGUAAACUUUCCCAAGUUCUUCUCAUUACACAAGCCUUAUCACAGAACGGUAUUUGGUUUGUUUGUUAGCAUUGAAUAGCUGAAGGCAAAAAUCUGACCAUUCUCUUGUAAAGUAGCAACACAUUACAAGUAAUCAUGUAUUAAUCUGAGCAUUUUUGGUCUUAUAUACAAAUCAAUAAAUUUUAUCUUUCAAGCCUUUAAAAACAUACCACAUCUUGGUUGGGUGUUAAGAGGAAAGGUCUCAGUGCUCAAAAUAACUGCUGACAUAACUUCUAUAUUUCAUUUUCCUACUAAAUAAGACCUGCUAUGUCUAACACAUUUUAAUUAAUGCCGAGCCCCAGAUGUUACUAUGCACAGAGAAGCUUAAUAUUAUGAAACUCUAAUAAAACCUUGAUCCAAUCAAUUUCAGG
rnacentral:lncRNA from 10 species